UACAGAGGGUGCAAGCGUUGUUCGGAAUUAUUGGGCGUAAAGCGCACGUAGGCGGUUCGUUAAGUCGGAUGUGAAAGCCCUCGGCUCAACUGAGGAAGUGCACCCGAAACUGGCGAGCUUGAGUACGAAAGAGGAUCGCGGAAUUCCCGGUGUAGAGGUGAAAUUCGUAGAUAUCGGGAGGAACACCGGUGGCGAAGGCGGCGAUCUGGGUCGAUACUGACGCUGAGGUGCGAAAGCGUGGGGAGCAAACAGGAUUAGAAACCCCUGA
rnacentral:rRNA from 1 species